UCAGAGACCUUUGCAGCAGAGCUUGC
rnacentral:piRNA from 1 species